AAACAUAGGACUUUCAUACAAACUUCCAACCCCCGUUUUAUCCCCUUAGGGGUAGAGUUUCAUAAAAUUCGUUCUAAGCAAAUGUGUACGCCCUAUAAGAAACGUACCUGCCAAAUUUCAAGUUUGUAGGUAUUAUAGUUUCGGAGAUUUCGUGAUGAGUGAAUCAACCUACCAUCCCCCGUUUUAACCCCAAAAGGGAGUUGAUUUCUAAAUAUACAUUAUUUGGACACCUUCUCACCAUCUAUAGAGUAUACAUUUUAAAUUUCAAGUCUCUUACUUCAAAAACAUGGGACUUUCAUACAAACUUCCAACCCCCUUUUUACCCCCUUAAGGGUCGAAUUUUGUAAAAUUCGUUCUUAGCGGAUGUUUACGCCCUAUAAGGAGCCUUUCUGCCAAAUUUCAAGUUUG
rnacentral:misc_RNA from 1 species